rfam:Firmicutes bacterium CAG:227 genomic scaffold, scf259
AGUGAGGUAGCUUAAUGGUAAAGCACGAAAAAGUGUUUCAUGUUUGUGGAACAUACAGCAAUUUAUUCCAGGAGAAGAGGACGAAGUGCAGGUUCGAGUCCUGCCCUCACUC